rnacentral:rRNA from 1 species
UGGGGGAUAUUGCACAAUGGGCGAAAGCCUGAUGCAGCGACGCCGCGUGGGGGAUGAAGGCUUUCGGGUUGUAAACCUCUUUCGCUAUCGAACAAGGCCCGCUUAGGGUGGGUUGAGGGUAGGUGGAGAAGAAGCGCCGGCUAACUACGUGCCAGCAGCCGCGGUAAUACGUAGGGCGCGAGCGUUGUCCGGAAUUAUUGGGCGUAAAGGGCUUGUAGGCGGCUUGUUGCGCCUGCUGUGAAAACGCGGGGCUUAACUUCGCGCGUGCAGUGGGUACGGGCAGGCUUGAGUGUGGUAGGGGUGACUGGAAUUCCAGGUGUAGCGGUGGAAUGCGCAGAUAUCUGGAGUAACACCGAUGGCGAAGGCAGGUCACUGGGCCAUUACUGACGCUGAGGAGCGAAAGCAUGGGUAGCGAACAGG